rnacentral:rRNA from 1 species
UAUCAAUAAGCGGAGGAAAAGAAACCAACAGGGAUUGCCCCAGUAACGGCGAGUGAAGCGGCAACAGCUCAAAUUUGAAAUCUGGCCCCCAGGGCCCGAGUUGUAAUUUGCAGAGGAUGCUUUGGGCGCGGCGCCUUCCGAGUUCCCUGGAACGGGACGCCACAGAGGGUGAGAGCCCCGUCUGGUCGGAUGCCAAGCCUGUGUAAAGCUCCUUCGACGAGUCGAGUAGUUUGGGAAUGCUGCUCUAAAUGGGAGGUAUAUGUCUUCUAAAGCUAAAUAUAGGCCAGAGACCGAUAGCGCACAAGUAGAGUGAUCGAAAGAUGAAAAGCACUUUGAAAAGAGGGUUAAACAGUACGUGAAAUUGUUGAAAGGGAAGCGCUUGUGACCAGACUUGGGCCCGGCGGAUCAUCCAGCGUUCUCGCUGGUGCACUCCGGCGGGCUCAGGCCAGCAUCAGUUCGGCGCGGGGGACAAAGGCUUCGGGAACGUGGCUCCUCCGGGAGUGUUAUAGCCCGCUGCGUAAUACCCUGCGCUGGACUGAGGUUCGCGCUCCGCAAGGAUGCUGGCGUAAUGGUCAUCAGCGACCCGUCUUGAAACACGGACCAAGGAGUCGUCUUCGUAUGCGAGUGUUCGGGUGUCAAACCCCUACGCGUAAUGAAAGUGAACGCAGGUGAGAGCUUCGGCGCAUCAUCGACCGAUCCUGAUGUUCUCGGAAGGAUUUGAGUAAGAGCAUACGGGGCCGGACCCGAAAGAAGGUGAACUAUGCCUGUAUAGGGUGAAGCCAGAGGAAACUCUGGUGGAGGCUCGCAGCGGUUCUGACGUGCAAAUCGAUCGUC